rnacentral:lncRNA from 1 species
UUGGGAGGCCUAUGGGACUACUCUGACUGGGGAUGGGUUGUUGGCACAUGGUCCUGUAAUAAUAAAUAUAAAGGCAGUUGAUCUGCCUUCAACCUGUCAACUUUAACCCGCAGCUCCUUCACAGACUCCUUGAAAGCCCUAGUCUUCCUCCUCUUCUUCGCCUCCCUAGAAAGCUCCUUGAGAGCUUUCCCAUGAGAAUCCACAUCUUCUGUAAGCACUUUCUGCGUAUCAAGGAUCUUCUUAUGGUUUUCCAAAUCUCCUUGAGGGCAUCCUGAAUAGACUGUGGGGCCUGUGGAGGCGAAGGUGCCGACUGAGCUGCUACUGUAGUAGUGAGGUCAGAUAGCUUAGAGGAAGUUGUCUGCAUCCAGUUGUUGAUGCUGAGAAGAGCCUGGAUCAGUCAGUGUGCAGUCACUUGAUAGGCCCGUGUAGAGGGUAUAUCUGGAGCUGCUGAAGUGGAUGGACUAGAGGGAAUUACCAUUGAGGUGGAGGCAUUCUGAGUAGGAUCAACUACUAUAACUAGAUCUUCAGACUGGCUAGUUGGAGUAGUGGUUGUUCUCUUGAAGGUCUUACCUUUUGGGUUGUCAUCACCCUGCAUGUUGUACCAUUAGAACAGGGCCUUCGAUUUCACUUUGAUAUUGAAUGGCUUCUUUUCAACCUUGAGGUCCCUAAAGUACAUGGUCAAGAAGUUGGGGAAGGAGUAGUUUUUGUCACCUUCAUUUACUACCUGUGUGAUCACCUGAGACAUCACUUUCCCGAUGUUAAUCGGGUACCCCGCCAUGAUUGAUUCUACAAACCACCCGGUGAAGAGGAAGGGAGUUGUCAUAGGUAGUUAGGUCCAAUCUUCUGCACACUAAUGUUUCCCUCCACUUGGCCUCGAAAUUCAAAAUUCUUCUCAAAAUUUUUACUCCCGCAUUCAACCAAUCAAGGGUGGUACCUGGGAUUGCCAGAUACUGUGCCAACCAAGGACGGACCUCCUCAGCUAAUUCCAUCUUCGCCAAAUACAAUGACCCAUCCUCCUCAUCGAAAUCCAGUAGUCAUUUAUUGACUUUUCAUCAAACAAUACUUUCAAAUUUUGCGCCUUGGUCACUUUGGUGCCUUUUUUAUGUGGGCCAAAUUGGUAUAGAAUUCCUUGACCAAGUGGUCAUUUGCAUCCACACAGUCCCCUAAUAAGUACUCCCAGCCUACUCUCUCUCUGAAUUUCCUCCUCACAUUGGGGUUGUGAGGCAAGAGGUCUCUAUCAACAAAGCUUAUCUCCGGAAUCAAUUUCCUCACGGGCCACCAUUCCCUGAAUUUAUGGUAGGCCACUUACUCACGAAGCGGUCUUGCCAAACCUCCGAUUUUCUAGUUCUAGCAAUACCUCCAACCUGAGGUUCACCCCUUAUCCUACUACCUCUUCUUCUCUUGGUGCACCCUCUAUGGAUAAUGAAGUUGUGGGAGAAGUGGAGUAUUCAUCCCCACUGCCUCCAGCUGAGCCCUCAUACGACCUAGAAGAUACAUUUACUGAAGCUUGGGCGGUGGGGGAUGCUAGAGGAGUGUCUCUUAGUCUCUUUCUCUCUGGCCAGUCAGGGACAAAUUCUGGCACGGAGUCUGAAGAUAUAUCCCGAGAAGGCUCAUACUCACUCCCCGACUGAUCAAUGGCCCUAUGAGCAGCCCAGAUGAUCUUCCUUGUGUUUUAAUGUUUUCCAAGUUUGGGGAGUCAAUAUUAGCAUCUUCUUAUUCCCUCCCCGAGAGUAUUCUCCUCGACUUGCUUGUUUAGAACCCUUGCCUCUUUUUUUUUUAUCAUUG